rnacentral:rRNA from 1 species
AUGCUAUAUUUCCGAAAACAUCCAAAAUUUUAUCACUUUGCUAGCAUCCAGUUUGAUGAAGCUACUAAACAUCGAAUCAUCCAGCCUAACGUAGUGAAGUCACUGCCCUUAUAUAAGAGAAAAACAUAUGUUGGAAUCGACCCCUGGUUGGUCGGAAAAGACACGUUGAUUGUCAUCAGUAUAAGACCCACAGCUACUGUCAAAGAUUUGCCAAAUCAACCUGAACACCAAAUACAGACACUUGACUUGAUCAGCAGCAGAGUUAUGAAUGCAAGUUAUCUUAGCACUUGCUUACUGAAGCUAAACUCUAUUGCCUGGAGGGAAGAAGAGUUCGUAUAG